rnacentral:rRNA from 1 species
GGACGGCCCGCCAGAGGACCCAAACUCUAAUGUUUCUUAUUGUAACUUCUGAGUAAAACAAACAAAUAAAUCAAAACUUUCAACAACGGAUCUCUUGGUUCUGGCAUCGAUGAAGAACGCAGCAAAAUGCGAUAAGUAAUGUGAAUUGCAGAAUUCAGUGAAUCAUCGAAUCUUUGAACGCACAUUGCGCCCGCUGGUAUUCCGGCGGGCAUGCCUGUUCGAGCGUCAUUUCAACCCUCAAGCCCCCGGGUUUGGUGUUGGGGAUCGGCUCUGCCUCACGGCGGUGCCGCCCCCGAAAUACAUUGGCGGUCUCGCUGCAGCCUCCAUUGCGUAGUAGCUAACACCUCGCAACUGGAACGCGGCGCGGCCAUGCCGUAAAACCCCAACUUCUGAAUGUUGACCUCGGAUCAGGUAGGAAUACCCGCUGAACUUAAGCAUAU